rnacentral:snRNA from 1 species
AGCUUUGAGCAGUGGCAGUAUCGUAGCCAAUGAGAUUUAUCCGAGGCGCGAUUAUUGCUAAUUGAAACUUAAUUCUUG